rnacentral:rRNA from 1 species
UACGGAGGGUGCAAGCGUUGCUCGGAAUCACUGGGCGUAAAGCGACCGCAGGCGGCCUGACAAGUCGGAUGUGAAAGCCCUGGGCUCAACUCAGGAAUUGCAUUCGAAACUGGUAGGCUCGAGUACGGGAGAGGGGGGUGGAAUUCCUGGUGUAGGGGUGAAAUGCGUAGAUAUCGGGAGGAACACCUGUGGCGAAGGCGGCCCCCUGGUUGGAUACUGACGCUGAUACACGAAAGCGUGGGGAGCAAACAGG